CAGUAGCCACGGUAAUACGAAGGGUGCAAGCGUUACUCGGAAUUACUGGGCGUAAAGCGUGCGUAGGUGGUGGUUUAAGUCCGUUGUGAAAGCCCUGGGCUCAACCUGGGAAUUGCAGUGGAUACUGGGUCACUAGAGUGUGGUAGAGGAUAGUGGAAUUUCCGGUGUAGCAGUGAAAUGCGUAGAGAUCGGAAGGAACAUCUGUGGCGAAGGCGACUAUCUGGGCCAACACUGACACUGAGGCACGAAAGCGUGGGGAGCAAACAGGAUUAGAUACCCGGGUAGUCCCUGUCUCUUAUAU
rnacentral:rRNA from 1 species